rnacentral:rRNA from 1 species
GACGAACGCUGGCGGCGUGCUUAACACGUGCAAGUCGAACGGAAAGGCCCUGCUUUUGUGGGGUGCUCGAGUGGCGAACGGGUGAGUAACACGUGAGUAACCUGCCCUUGACUUUGGGAUAACUUCAGGAAACUGGGGCUAAUACCGGAUAGGCGCUCCUGCUGCAUGGUGGGGGUUGGAAAGUUUCGGCGGUUGGGGAUGGACUCGCGGCUUAUCAGCUUGUUGGUGGGGUAGUGGCUUACCAAGGCUUUGACGGGUAGCCGGCCUGAGAGGGUGACCGGCCACAUUGGGACUGAGAUACGGCCCAGACUCCUACGGGAGGCAGCAGUGGGGAAUAUUGCACAAUGGGCGGAAGCCUGAUGCAGCAACGCCGCGUGCGGGAUGUCGGCCUUCGGGUUGUAAACCGCUUUCGCCUGUGACGAAGCGUGAGUGACGGUAAUGGGUAAAGAAGCACCGGCUAACUACGUG